AGCAAGAUACUGCGCGCAGGCUCUCGAUACGCCGGGGCGCCUUGGCGUCAGACCUGCCGGUGCAGGCGGGGAAUCGUGACGGAGCCGCUGUCCCGCGGCCCCACAAAGCGCAGGU
rfam:Pseudoflavonifractor capillosus ATCC 29799 B_capillosus-2.0.1_Cont278, whole genome shotgun sequence.